UGGGGGAUAUUGCACAAUGGGGGAAACCCUGAUGCAGCGACGCCGCGUGAGCGAUGAAGUAUUUCGGUAUGUAAAGCUCUAUCAGCAGGGAAGAAGAUGACGGUACCUGACUAAGAAGCCCCGGCUAACUACGUGCCAGCAGCCGCGGUAAUACGUAGGGGGCAAGCGUUAUCCGGAUUUACUGGGUGUAAAGGGAGCGUAGACGGCGAUGCAAGCCUGGAGUGAAAGGCGGGGGCUCAACCCCCGGACUGCUUUGGGAACUGCAUGGCUGGAGUGUCGGAGAGGCAGGCGGAAUUCCUAGUGUAGCGGUGAAAUGCGUAGAUAUUAGGAGGAACACCAGUGGCGAAGGCGGCCUGCUGGACGAUGACUGACGUUGAGGCUCGAAAGCGUGGGGAGCAAACAGGAUUAGAUACCC
rnacentral:rRNA from 1 species